AGCGCAGGCGGUUUCUUAAGUCUGAUGUGAAAGCCUUCGGCUUAACCGGAGAAGAGCAUCGGAAACUGGGAGGCUUGAGUGCAGAAAAGGACAGUGGAACUCCAUGUGUAGCGGUGAAAUGCGUAGAUAUAUGGAAGAACACCAGUGGCGAAGGCGGCUGUCUGGUCUGUAACUGACGCUGAGGCUCGAAAGCAUGGGUAGCAAACA
rnacentral:rRNA from 1 species